rnacentral:lncRNA from 1 species
GGAGGCGGCGACCCGCAACGACCUGAUGCAGCGCCUCAAGCCCUCGGCCGCAAGCACCUCUUCCUGCUCCGCUGCCGCCCCUCCGAAGGCGCCGAAUAGCGCUUCCUUCUUCCGACACUUCGCGCCCAACAGCUUCGGCCCCGAGGCCUCCCGGCGGCCAGGCAUCCCACCUAUUCCUCCGCCGCCCUCGCCGUCCUCCGCUGCAGCAGCCGUCCGGCCGCCCUCUCCCAUCUCCUCUGCCUCCGCCGCUUUCCACUCCCGCUCCCUCUCCCAGCCCCCCGCCUUCUUCUCCCUCGACUCCUUGCC